AGAGUUUGAUCCUGGCUCAGGAUGAACUUUGGCGGCGUGCUUAACACAUGCAAGUCGAACGAAGCGCCUGACUAUGAGACUUCGGUUGAAUAGGAGGGAUGACUUAGUGGCGGACGGGUGAGUAACGCGUGGGUAACCUGCCUCAUGCAGGGGGACAACAGUUGGAAACGACUGCUAAUACCGCAUAUGACCACAGCAUCGCAUGAUGCAGCGGUGAAAGAUUUAUCGGCAUGAGAUGGACCCGCGUCUGAUUAACUGGUUGGUGAGGUAACGGCCCACCAAGGUUGCGAUCAGUAGCCGACCUGAGAGGGUGAUCGGCCACAUUGGGACUGAGACACGGCCCAAACUCCUACGGGAGGCAGCAGUGAGGAAUAUUGGUCAAUGGACGGAAGUCUGAACCAGCCAUGCCGCGUGGAGGAGGACGGCCCUAUGGGUUGUAAACUCCUUUUGCCGGAGAGUAAUAAGGGUCCUGCGGGGCCUGAUGAGAGUAUCUGGCGAAUAAGCAUCGGCUAACUCCGUGCCAGCAGCCGCGGUAAUACGGAGGAUGCAAGCGUUAUCCGGAUUUAUUGGGUUUAAAGGGUGCGUAGGCGGACGCGUAAGUCAGCGGUGAAAUAUCCCGGCCCAACCGGGAGGCUGCCGUUGAUACUGCGCGACUGGAGUCCAAACGGCGCCGGCGGAAUAUGCAAUGUAGCGGUGAAAUGCUUAGAUAUUGCAUAGAACACCGAUCGCGAAGGCAGCUGGCGAGGAUGGCACUGACGCUGAGGCACGAAGGCGUGGGGAUCAAACAGGAUUAGAUACCCUGGUAGUCCACGCAGUAAACGAUGACAACUUGUUGUCGGUGAUAGACAGUCGGUGACAAAGCGAAAGCGAUAAGUAAUCCACCUGGGGAGUACGGCCGCAAGGUUGAAACUCAAAGGAAUUGACGGGGGCCCGCACAAGCAGUGGAGUAUGUGGUUUAAUUCGAAGCAACGCGAAGAACCUUACCAGGUCUUGACAUCGGAUGCAUAUCUAAGAGAUUAGAGAAGUUCCUUCGGGGACAUCCAGACAGGUGGUGCAUGGUUGUCGUCAGCUCGUGUCGUGAGAUGUUGGGUUAAGUCCCGCAACGAGCGCAACCCUUACUAUUAGUUGCUACGCAAGAGCACUCUAAUAGGACUGCCGUUGACAAAACGGAGGAAGGUGGGGAUGACGUCAAAUCAUCAUGCCCCUUAUGACCUGGGCUACACACGUACUACAAUGGCAAUUAACAAAGAGAAGCAAGACAGUGAUGUGGAGCGAAUCUCAAAAAAUUGUCCCAGUUCAGAUUGCAGGCUGCAACUCGCCUGCAUGAAGUCGGAAUUGCUAGUAAUCGUAGAUCAGCAUGCUACGGUGAAUACGUUCCCGGGCCUUGUACACACCGCCCGUCAAG
rnacentral:rRNA from 1 species